rnacentral:rRNA from 1 species
AACGAACGCUGGCGGCAGGCCUAACACAUGCAAGUCGAGCGAGGUAGCAAUACCUAGCGGCGGACGGGUGAGUAACGCGUGGGAACGUACCCUUUGCUACGGAAUAGCCCCGGGAAACUGGGAGUAAUACCGUAUGUGCCCUUCGGGGGAAAGAUUUAUCGGCAAAGGAUCGGCCCGCGUUGGAUUAGGUAGUUGGUGGGGUAAUGGCCUACCAAGCCGACGAUCCAUAGCUGGUUUGAGAGGAUGAUCAGCCACACUGGGACUGAGACACGGCCCAGACUCCUACGGGAGGCAGCAGUGGGGAAUCUUAGACAAUGGGCGCAAGCCUGAUCUAGCCAUGCCGCGUGAGUGAUGAAGGCCUUAGGGUUGUAAAGCUCUUUCAGAUGGGAAGAUAAUGACGGUACCAUCAGAAGAAGCCCGGCUAACUCCGUGCCAGCAGCCGCGGUAAAGUCG